rnacentral:misc_RNA from 1 species
CUCCAUUUCCAGUUUAAUUGAAGUUAAUAAUGGGAGAGGAAGUGAAGCUGUUAGAUUUCUGGCCCAGCAUGUUUGGGAUGCGAGUUAGAAUAGCGUUGGCUGAGAAGGGCGUGGCUUAUGAGUACGUGGAAGAAGAUCUGAAGAAUAAGAGCCCUUUGCUUCUUCAAAUGAACCCAAUUCACAAGAAGAUCCCUGUUCUUAUUCACAAUGGAAAACCCGUAUGUGAAUCUUCAAUAAUCGUUGAGUAUAUUGAUGAAGUGUGG